CCUAUGAAAUCGAGUGGCAAACGGGUGAGUAACGCGUAAACAACCUGCCCUUCGGAUGGGGAUAACAGCCGGAAACGGCUGCUAAUACCGAAUACGAUCUUUUCGUCGCAUGACGGAAAGAAGAAAGGAUGGCCUCUAUACAAAGCUAUCGCCGAAGGAGGGGUUUGCGUCUGAUUAGCUGGUUGGAGGGGUAACGGCCCAACAAGGCGAUGAUCAGUAGCCGGUCUGAGAGGAUGAACGGCCACAUUGGGACUGAGACACGGCCCAGACUCCUACGGGAGGCAGCAGUGGGGAAUCUUCCGCAAUGGACGAAAGUCUGACGGAGCAACGCCGCGUGAGUGAAGAAGGUCUUCGGAUUGUAAAGCUCUGUUAUACGGGACGAAAAAGACGGAUGCCAACAGUAUCCCGUCCGUGACGGU
rnacentral:rRNA from 1 species